GUCUAUGGCCAAACCACCCUGGAUAUCCCUAAUCUUAUCUGAUAUCAGAAGCUAAACAGGGUUGAGAUUGGUCAGUAUUUGGGUGGGAAAAAGAAUAAUCACUAGAUA
rnacentral:rRNA from 1 species